GGCGGCGUGGAUAAGACAUGCAAGUCGAGCGAGAUUUUUUCUUGUAGCAAUACAGGGAAAAGUCUAGCGGCGAACGGGUGCUUAACACGUGGGCAACCUGCCAAGAAAUGGGGGAUAGCUCGCCGAAAGGCGAAUUAAUACCGCAUGUGAUCAGAGUGGACAUCCAUUCGAAAUCAAAGUCGGGGCAACCUGACGUUUCUUGAGGGGCCCGCGGCCUAUCAGCUAGUUGGUGAGGUAACGGCCCACCAAGGCUUAGACGGGUAGCUGGUCUGAGAGGACGACCAGCCACACUGGGACUGAGACACGGCCCAGACACCUACGGGUGGCAGCAGUCGAGAAUUUUUCUCAAUGGGGGAAACCCUGAAGGAGCGACGCCGCGUGGAGGAUGAAGGUCUUCGGGUUGUAAACUCCUGUCAUUUGGGAA
rnacentral:rRNA from 1 species